GACGAACGCUGGCGGCGUGCUUAACACAUGCAAGUCGAACGGUAAGGCCCUUCGGGGUACACGAGUGGCGAACGGGUGAGUAACACGUGGGUGAUCUGCCCUGCACUUCGGGAUAAGCCUGGGAAACUGGGUCUAAUACCGGAUAGGACCACUGCCUGCAUGGGUGGUGGUGGAAAGCUUUUGCGGUGUGGGAUGGGCCCGCGGCCUAUCAGCUUGUUGGUGGGGUGAUGGCCUACCAAGGCGACGACGGGUAGCCGGCCUGAGAGGGUGACCGGCCACACUGGGACUGAGAUACAGCCCAGACUCCUACGGGAGGCAGCAGUGGGGAAUAUUGCACAAUGGGCGCAUGCCUGAUGCAGCGACGCCGCGUGAGGGAUGGCGGCCUUCGGGUUGUAAACCUCUUUCAGCACCGACGAAGCGCAAGUGACGGUAGGUGCAGAAGAAGGACCGGCCAACUACGUGCCAGCAGCCGCGGUAA
rnacentral:rRNA from 1 species